AUUACCCACUCCCGGCACGGGGAGGUAGUGACGAAAAAUAACGAUACGGGACUCAUCCGAGGCCCCGUAAUCGGAAUGAGUACACUCUAAACCCUUUAACGAGGAUCAAUUGGAGGGCAAGUCUGGUGCCAGCAGCCGCGGUAAUUCCAGCUCCAAUAGCGUAUAUUAAAGUUGUUGCGGUUAAAAAGCUCGUAGUCGAAUUUGUGUUUCGCGCCGCCGGUUCAUCGCUCGCGGUGUUCAACUGGCGUGUCGCGGAACGUCCUGCCGGUGGGACCGGGCGUUCGCGUCCGGCCCCAACUUUAAAUCCUGCCGCGGUGCUCUUCAUUGAGUGUCGAGGUAGGCCGGCACGUUUACUUUGAACAAAUUAGAGUGCUCAAAGCAGGCUAAAAUUUCGCCUGAAUAUUCUGUGCAUGGAAUAAUGGAAUANGACCUCGGUUCUAUUUUGUUGGUUUUCGGAACCCCGAGGUAAUGAUUAAUAGGAACUGAUGGGGGCAUUCGUAUUGCGACGUUAGAGGUGAAAUUCUUGGAUCGUCGCAAGACGGACAGAAGCGAAAGCAUUUGCCAAAAACGUUUUCAUUGAUCAAGAACGAAAGUUAGAGGUUCGAAGGCGAUCAGAUACCGCCCUAGUUCUAACCAUAAACGAUGCCAGCUAGCGAUCCGCCGACGUUCCUCCGAUGACUCGGCGGGCAGCUUCCGGGAAACCAAAGCUUUUGGGUUCCGGGGGAAGUAUGGUUGCAAAGCUGAAACUUAAAGGAAUUGACGGAAGGGCACCACCAGGAGUGGAGCCUGCGGCUUAAUUUGACUCAACACGGGAAACCUCACCAGGCCCGGACACCGGAAGGAUUGACAGAUUGAUAGCUCUUUCUUGAUUCGGUGGGUGGUGGUGCAUGGCCGUUCUUAGUUGGUGGAGCGAUUUGUCUGGUUAAUUCCGAUAACGAACGAGACUCUAGCCUGCUAACUAGGCGUAUUUUCGACAUCCGAAAGGCCCGGCUGCCAUGGCGUUCGCGUCGUGGUUGUUCGCGGUUUUUGCUGUCGGCGUACAACAUAUUCUUCUUAGAGGGACAGGCGGCUUCUAGCCGCACGAGAUUGAGCAAUAACAGGUCUGUGAUGCCCUUAGAUGUUCUGGGCCGCACGCGCGCUACACUGAAGGAAUCAGCGUGUCCUCCCUGUCCGAGAGGACCGGGUAACCCGCUGAACCUCCUUCGUGCUAGGGAUUGGGGCUUGCAAUUGUUCCCCAUGAACGAGGAAUUCCCAGUAAGCGCGAGUCAUAAGCUCGCGUUGAUUACGUCCCUGCCCUUUGUACACACCGCCCGUCGCUACUACCGAUUGAAUGAUUUAGUGAGGUCUUCGGAUCGGUACGCGGCAGCGUUCGCGCGUUGCCGAUGUUGCUGAAAAGAUGACCAA
rnacentral:rRNA from 1 species